rnacentral:lncRNA from 1 species
UGCAGUCUGUCCAGGAAAUGAGUCUCCAGGCAGUGCUGAAGUAUCUAAAGAGAGUGACUUUUCUCCCUCAGCUCAAGUGAGUCAACAUUGGGGGCUCCUGGUCUGCCAAAGUGCAGCUGAGGGCUGAGGAGAGGCGUUAGUCUCACAGGGUGAUAUGGGCUAACAGGAGACUUUGUGCCAGGCGAUUUUUCAGGGGGCCAAGAUCCGCAGCCUUUGUAAUGACCUGUUUUUCACGACACUGGCCAGAGUUGGACUGUAACCUACUACAUCAUUCCCAGAGCGUCUAUGAAUAUAAGACAGCACAUUUAGAAAUCUCUGGGUUCAGGAAGACAGAAAGUCUUCCUUUAUUGAACAUCAUCUCCAUCCUUGGGUAUGUCGGUAUGACCUGUGCGUGUCUAAGAGAAGGACAAUGAGUUCCGUAUCCCCAGUACUCUGGAAAUAGCAUUUUCCAGUGCAGAGUGAAACCAGAGAUGGGUGUUUUGAGAUACCCUUCCUGGAGAAGCUGAUCGGAGAACACCAGACUAUCAUUUUUUUGCUCCCACCUCUUCCCAGGGGGCACAGAUAGAUAUUGACAGACAGUCUGUAUUCCCUGUGGUUACAUUCAGAGCAUUGUCCAGAGAGCAUCAUUCAGCCAUUUGAGAAAAGCUGAUAGGAUGUGGAAGACAGAACAAUGUUGAACCAAGGGGCCCAUGCUAAUCUAUCAAGCCCGGGUGUAGGCAACUUGCGUGUCAAAAGGAAUUUUGCAUAUGUGAUCAUGUAAAGAUACUGAAGUGGGUGGUGAUCUGGAAUUAUCAAGGUGGCCCCACCACAAUUGCUGGUUUUUUUAUGAACAGGAGUUCAUUAGAUGGGAGUUAGGAAAGUGACAGAACCAGAGGCAUCAAAGAUGCCACAUAGCCUUUGGCAGCAAGGGAGGAAAGCAAAUGGAUUCUUCUCUCAGUUUCCAAGAGGAGCACAGGGACUGAACUCCAAUGUAUAAAGUUUAAAGGAAAAUGUCAUCUAAGUUUAUGGAAGUUUGUUACAGAAUCAAUAAGAAACAUGUAUACAUAGGUGGGUUGCUAGUGGUCCCGCUAUUCCUACGGUGGAUGAAAGAGCUUACUCCUAGAACCCUUCUUAGACCUUUCUGUUCAGGCUGCGCAUGCUCAUGAAGACCUGUGGGGACACUAAGGGAUACUGCUUUCCUUUCUCCAAUGCCCCAGAUAUUCAGAGAUAAUGCCAAUUCAGUAACCAACGUGCUUUGAAAGAAGUGACAAGAUUGAUCACUGGCCAUGGUCACUAGGCAGGUCACUAAUGCAGAUCAAAGAAUUGUAUUGGGGUUUGGUGUUUACCAUUAUCCUUUGGUAGUGUACAGAGGACCUUCUGGUAUUGUCAACACUAGUUCAUAGGGGUAAUAUAUGUGUGCAUAGAUAGUCAAUAGUGUACAUCUGCUGUCCAUAUAGUGACUCAGCUAGCUGCUGAGUUUGUACUGCAUUCAAUUACUGACAUGAUACCCUGUGGUCACUAUGUAUAUUGCACAUCACAGACAAAGACCCAGCAGAACCAUUUGUGUCCCCUGAAUGGCUAAUAUCUAAGUAUGACUCAUACAAGUGUUGGAGAUCUCGGUAAACAAUGCACAACUUUAUAGUUGUACCUUGUUUCUGAUGGAUCAAACGUCCAUUUUCUAGAAACAAAGACCCUGAGAUUUGUGUGUAGGUUUACGGGGGAUAUCACUCAGCAAAAACACCCAGCAGGUAAGUGAGAGCAGCAGAAUUGGGUAGAGGACAAGCGGAACAUAGCACGGGAUGCUCUGCAGCUCAUGUAGCCUAGAGGAGUUGCCCCACAUUAAAGCAAGAGGGCUUAGUCUUCAGGUCAGCCCAUUCCCACAGGUCAGCCCAUUCCCACAAAGGCAACUCAUCUCUCUCAGGGACUUGCUAGCUCCUGUCAAUCAGCUCCCUCUAACCAAGUGUGAUUCCAUGAGACACUCUCAGCAGACAUCUUUCAACUUCCAGCCCUCCUGAUUACUGAAAGGGUAAACCCACUAAUCCUGAAGGGAGCUAGGCGACAGGUUAUGGGGCCCACUUCAUCGAAAGCUUCUAACUCUGAUGUCAUGGCUAAAACAUCCAUUGGUGUUUCUUACAAGUCAAGGUCUGGAGUAAGCAGAAAGAAAAGACAGGAAUGGGAGCCCAGGAGAUGACUUAGUAGUCAAGAGCACUGUACUCUUCUUGCAGAUGACCCAGGUUCUGUUCUUGGCACCCAUAUCCAUCCAACUCCUCAAAAUCUGGAUGCACACGGUCCACAUACAUACAUUCAGAAACACGUGGAAGAGAGAGAAACUGGACGCCAUGUGUGUUGUCUGCCCUCAUCCCCUGGGCUCCAGACUGCAGUUGUGGAAAUGACUAGAGCCUGAAGUAACAGCUGCUCCUUGCUGGGGCAUUCAUGGUCUUCCUUCUCUCUCAUAAAGUGUGUUUUGGAAACACAGAAUGAGAAGUUUUCACCUCUCUACCCCUCUCAUGCCCUCCUUUCCCCUUUUGGCUCUUAGAGCUCUACAUCUUUUUCUGUCCAUCUUGUUCUCCCUCAGCUCUUUAUGCACGGACAGUGCCUGGAGUUAGCUACCGCUUCACUGCACUGGGGUCAGCCCUUCUGAUUGCUGGUGUGACUGAUCAACUCCCACGCAGGGCUUGGAGAAGCGCUUGCAUUCAGAAAGUCAGGGCCUUGCUGAGGGUGGUGGUGCCCGGAGUUCAGCAGGGAGACUGAAGCAAGCAGUAAUAGAAGACUUUGUCACAGACUUCUGACAGCUUGUUUUACAGGCGCUGGUCUUAACACUCAGGCUAAACUCUAGAUAGAAAGAGAUUUGCCAACUUUCUUGCGAUGCUGUCUCAGAGGGCUGUAGGUGUGCCUGUCUGUGAUUUUAUUUACUUUCCGCAAACGGGUAGUUGAAGAGCUUGGUGGCUUUGUGACAAACCAAGCCUGACCCAUCAGUAAUGGCUUCUUAGAGAGGUUGUAUUAAGGAUUUUGAAGUCC